CAUUUUUCUUUUUCCUCCUUUUCUUAUUUGCAGACAAGUCUGAUUUUUCUUCCUUCAACUCACCAGCAACAGCUCCUGUUUCUUCACUUACACUGGCUGCUGAGAUGACUUCAAUGGCACGACUGAUGACUGCACCCUCACUGUUCAUGUUUAUUUUCGCGCGCUCAUCUCUCUUCUCACUGAUGCCAGCUCUUUCUUUCUCUCUGUAAUUGUCUUCAGCGUUCACGUCCAUUGUUUUAUUAGCAGCAGUUCUCUCUUGCUUUU